UGCAAACUGCGAAUACCGGAGAAUGUUAUCACGGGAGACACACGGCGGGUGCUAACGUCCGUCGUGAAGAGGGAAACAACCCAGACCGCCAGCUAAGGUCCCAAAGUCAUGGUUAAGUGGGAAACGAUGUGGGAAGGCCCAGACAGCCAGGAUGUUGGCUUAGAAGCAGCCAUCAUUUAAAGAAAGCGUAAUAGCUCACUGGUCGAGUCGGCCUGCGCGGAAGAUGUAACGGGGCUAAACCAUGCACCGAAGCUGCGGCAGCGACGCUGAUGCGUUGUUGGGUAGGGGAGCGUUCUGUAAGCCUGUGAAGGUGUGUCGUGAGGC
rnacentral:rRNA from 1 species